UACGAAGGGGGCUAGCGUUACUCGGAAUCACUGGGCGUAAAGCGCACGUAGGCGGAUCUUUAAGUCAGGGGUGAAAUCCCGGAGCUCAACUCCGGAACUGCCUUUGAUACUGAGGGUCUUGAGUCCGGGAGAGGUGAGUGGAACUGCGAGUGUAGAGGUGAAAUUCGUAGAUAUUCGCAAGAACACCAGUGGCGAAGGCGGCUCACUGGCCCGGUACUGACGCUGAGGCACGGAAAGCGUGGGGAGCAAAGCAGG
rnacentral:rRNA from 1 species